rnacentral:rRNA from 1 species
AUGGUACUCACCAGCCUUGCGCUGCAACUCUUUCUGCUAUUCGCCGGCAACAUCCGUCGUUGGCGUAGAGUCAUUGGGUUGAGGUUCUUGGUGUGGUUGGCUUAUUUGGGGUCUUACGCUGUUGCCGCCUCUGCCAUUGGCCUCUUCUCCCAGUAUGAGGACAAGUACAAACUAAGAAGCCUCGAGUCAUCUGAGGAUCGUCACACGCUGACGCUGCCCUUCCUCUGGGCACCUUUUCUCCUUCUACACCUCGGAGGCCAGGACACCAUCACUGCAUUCUCCAUCGAGGACAAUGAUCUAUGGAUGAGGCAAGUGAUCAACCUCUUGGUCCAGCUCAGUCUAGCCUUGUACGUAUUUUGGAAGUCGUUCGACUUACUCAACUCGAAGUUGCUAGCCAUUGCGGUACCCCUAUUUAUUGCCGGGAUAAUCAAGUAUGGGGAGAGGAUACGGGCACUCGAGAGAGGCAGCCGGGACAGCCUCGACUGCCGCACAAAGAUGGACGAUCCAACCAAGCCCAUGGAGGGGCCUAGCCACCGGCCCACCAUCAGACAGUUGUCUCCACCUAGAGAUGAUGAUGUGGCAUCUCGUGCUCUUAGCUCUGCUCUUUGCUGUAGAGGAUUGCUUGUUGGACGGACACUGGUACAGCUGGGAUCUGGGGCUGCCAUUAAAGUUUUGGAUGCUUUUGCAGAGACUGAGCAAACAGAAGCAAAGGUCAAGUUCGUUCUGACGGAGCUUGGCAUGAUUUACGAUAUGCUAUACACCAAGGUCACGGUGCUGCAAAAAUGGAAAGGCAGUAUGUUCCGGUGUUUUGCCCUUGUAGCCAUGAUGGUCGCAUUUGUGCUCUUCUGGGUAAACCAGCAACUGCAUGCCCACAAAACAACAAAUGCUGCCAUCACCUACGCGUUGUUUGUUGCAGCCAUCUUUAUGGAAGUUUAUUCUAUUUUCAUGGUGAUAGCAUCGCCCUGGACAAGGGCACGCUCCAACUUUCUUGGUUGGCUGUCCGGCAAAUUAGCCUGUUGUUUUCCUAGUCAAAGGUUGUCAAGUCCAUCCAUGAGGCAAUUUAACCUUACAGACUAUUGCUUGAACAAGAAAUCCAGGCCGAAGUUCCUCUCCAAGGUGACUGGAUCACUGGGUCUCGAGAAGCACUGGAGAAACAUUUGGCACGUCAAGGACGUGGAAGGAGACAAGGGGGUCAUCAUCAGCUAUAUCGCGGGAUUACUCAACACCGACCAUAAUCCUUAUAGGGAGCGACCCCAGCAGCUGAAUCUUGGCUGGGAACUAAAGGAUUUGCUAACUCUGCCCUUCGAGCAUGCCCUUUUCCGUCUACAUGUAUUCACAGAGAUGUAUUUAAGCAGACUAGAUGGCAGUGGCAGUGGUGAGAUGAAAGUACUUGCGGCAGUGGCAGUGGCAGUGGCAGUGGCAGUGGGAGGGAGUGUCAGUGAUGAGAUGAGAAAACUUGCGGCAGAAUGCAGGAAGCUAUCAAACUACCUCAUGUACCUCAUGGUAGUUUACCCUUCAAUGCUGCGGGUCGGGAGUGCUGCGCAGGAUCUCGAGUCCAUAUUCACGGAAUGGGUGAGGGGCAAUCAUGACAACUUGGAGAAGGCAGAGAUUCUAGAGAAGUAUACAAAUGCAAAAUUCAACGCCAAUAUUCGAAUGAGAACUCCCUUCAAAGAACCGCCUUCCAUGGGAUCGCUGGAGGAGAUAAAGGAGGUGUGGGCGAGGCUGCUCAUCUAUGCUGCUGGUAAGUGCCCCAUGGAGCUGCACGCGCGACAGCUCGGCAAUGAAGUCGAGCUUCUCACCGUGGUUGGGUACCUCAUGAUGCAUCACUGUCUUGGAGAUGUUGGAAGGGAGCUCAAACUCUUGGCACCUCUUCUUGGAGACACGCGAGAAAGGUUGGUUUCAGUUCAUGAGAAUGAGUCGAUGAAUAUGAUACCGCCAGAAGAGCCUCUCUACGCCUUUGAAUUCCUUCGGGAUUACAAUGAGCAGAUGUAUGUACGAGCCUGGGGACCAUUAGCGAAGAGCCGACUACGUCUCACGGACCAAGUGUGCGGUCACGAUCUGUAG